UGCCUGGAGGACUAGUGGUUAGGCCACAGCGCUCUCGCUGCUGCACCCAGGGUUCUAUUCCCAGCCAGGGAA
rnacentral:tRNA from 1 species